ensembl:lncRNA PCAT1 prostate cancer associated transcript 1
GCCGAGUAGCUGAGAUUACAGGCAUGCACCACCACAUCUGGCUACUUUUUUUUAUUUUUGUAUUUUUAGUGGAGACGGGGUUUCACCGUGUUGGCCAGUCUGACCUGGAACUCCUGACUUCAGGUGAUCUGCCCACCUCAUCCUCCCAAAGUGCUGGGAUUACAGGUGUGAGCCCUUGUGCUCAGUCAGAUUUAGCAUUUUAAACGAGUUCCCAGCUGAUGCUGAUGCUGCUGGAUCAAGGACCACGCUCUGAGAAGCAAGGGUUUAUGGGGCUUUCUUGGACUGCACUCUGGCCAAACGCAGUGACUCCAGUAAGGCGUGGCCUUUGCAACCACAGGAAGAGCAGAAGUCUGCUGUGGAGCCGCCUGCAUCCAAGUCCAGCUCUGCUGCUUGAUGGGAAUGGGCCCUUGGGACAGAUUCUUCUCUUGGAAUCUGAGUGUUCUCAGAAGAGGCAGAGGAUGUUGACACAAACUUACAGACUGGGACUCCAAGGAUCAGCCAGAUGAAAUGCUAUGUGCAGAGUCUUCAUUUCCCAGCUCAGUGGUGGACAGCAGAGGACUCUAAGGCACUCCUUGAACAGACCCCUAGUCUGAACUUGAGGAAGAGAGAGACUUCCCUUCUAAAGACGUCUGGCCUUCCAGCGGGAGAUCCAGCCACCUCUUGGGAUGCACACGUUUCUCUUCAACUGCGUGAUGUGAACUGCGUCACAUGUGAAUUAUCAACAGAAACUACCUAGAGAAACCUGUAACUUCAGAUCUUCUGAUUAAUUGAUUUUCUUUGGGUGCUGCUUGACAGUAACAGAAUGGUCCAUGGGGACAGUUUUUCAGUGAAUGUUUUCAACAAUGAUAGGAACACAGAGCUAAGCAGAGUGUCAAGAGACAUUUAGUGCAGUAGAGACAUCUCAUCUGUUUUUCUGCAGAACUUGCAUAAAAUUAGCAUCUGAUUAUUAUCACCUCAGAAUGAACCGGAACCCGUAAAGAUGUCUUUGAUCGUAAAAGUGGGGAGGAGACCCUGAUGGAAGAAGAGAAGACUUCAGCCUCACAAUAGAAAAGACUGUGUUUAUGCACCUAAAUCUAACUUAGACACCAUCUAAUUCAAGAAACAGGCACAUUUAGGGAAAUAAAGAAAAGAGGCAGAAAGAGAUGAAGCACCUUGGCUGAAUCAGAGAAAUUAGGGGUUAAUGUUCCAGACUGAUGACUUGAAGGAGGGUGUGCAUUUUCAUGCAAGGGACCAUUCUGUAGAAGAAGCAGCACAUUCACCCUUAAAUGAGCAAAGAGAAUCCCAAUCACUCUCCCUCUCACCCUCCCCUUUUCCUUCAUUUCUCUAGCUCUUUAUUUCCAAGAAGGCCAGCCCUUCUCUUCAGCCACAUGGUAUUUGGACAGCCUAGGCUCAAUCCCUGCAGGGAAAGCUCAAUCAGCCAGCUGAGCCAGUCACUGAACAACCAAGUCUGGUAAGAACAGGGGUGAAGUAUUUAAGAAGCCUAUCGUGGCUGGAGGGCUAAAGCCUUGUUCUCAAAUCAGCUUUAUAGGUAAUAAAACUGACAUUAAAGCAAAAACAAAUAAGAG